GAGGGUAUAGUUCAGUGGUAGAGUGCAUGCUUAGCAUGCAUGAGGUCCUGGGUUCAAUCCUCAGUACCUCCA
rnacentral:tRNA from 1 species